AAAUCAGAUGAUGAGCUAUGGAUUGAAAUCUCUCACGACGGUCAUCCGAGACACAUCCAAUGUUGCCACUGAUGCAUAAUCCAUUACUUCUGAUGAUU
rfam:Punica granatum cultivar Dabenzi scaffold171, whole genome shotgun sequence.